UACGUAGGGCGCGAGCGUUGUCCGGAAUCAUUGGGCGUAAAGAGCUCGUAGGCGGCCUGUCGCGUCUGCUGUGAAAUCCCGGGGCUCAACCCCGGGCGUGCAGUGGAUACGGGCUGGCUGGAGGCAGGCAGGGGAGAACGGAAUUCCCGGUGUAGCGGUGAAAUGCGCAGAUAUCAGGAGGAACACCAGCGGCGAAGGCGGCGCUCUGGGCCGGAACUGACGCUGAGGAGCGAAAGCGUGGGUAGCAAACAGG
rnacentral:rRNA from 1 species